GCCCAGGACCCGGCAGCUGCCGCAGUGAGCAUUUCCAUUGGCUUAGGCGCUCCCCACCAGAACUCGAGUGAUUGGUUCUGGAAUAGGAGUGAGAGAAGCAGUGUCCAGUGACAAUGAUGCCUCCUACUUUGAAGGCGGGGCGUGAGGGGUGGCAGCGUGAGGUGGGGGCUGUGCGCGCAGGGAGGAGCGUAAAAGUUGACAGCCUUGAGCAUGUGACACCUUCUGCCAUGAGAUGAUGCCACAAUAAGAACCUCACCAACUGCUGGCACCUUGAUACUGGACUUCACAGCCUCCAGAAUUGUGAGCCAAUGUCUUUCAAGCAUUGAUAAUUACAGCUUUCAGACCCAAAGCCUACAAAUUCAUAAUCCACACAGAUGACAUACUAAAAUCUACUCAAACUUCUAAGUGUGAAGACAAUUUCAGGACUUACAUUAAGAGAAAACUGCUUAAAAAGAGAUAAUCCAUUUUAAAGCAAGAAAACAAGAUAAUUCAAGGGAAAAAUGUAUGACUCUAAAUUUGGAAACCAAACAGGAUCUGCCAAUACGGGGCAGAAUGUUAAAAAGAGGAUGAAUUUUGAUUUCAGAAAAUUUAGAAGAGAAUGGAUUUCUCAGGCAACUGAAAGAACAUAUUUGGAUCUGUUAAGACUAAAGGAGACUUCAAGAGAACUGGACUUUGUGUCGGACAGACUGUCUGUGACAGGGAAAAAACCCCUUCUGAAUGAUUAGGAACGAACCAGUUAACUGGCUUGAGUUUCACAUUCUUCAUCUGUAAAAUCUGGUGAUUAGACUGGCCCAGCAAAAGAUACAAUACACAUAAAUUGGAAUGAAUCUGCAUUUUCCAAGCCUGAUGAAUUUAUUAAAACUGAAUUAAGUCACUAACUGGCAGCCUGAAGAUGAAAGGAAAGAACUCAGUCAUGCUUCUUAAGGUAAAAGGGCAGUCUAACUGAGAAUUUUGUUAUCUCUGAGGACAAAUUACAACGAGAUAAAGACACUCAAGAUCACAUGGAAGGCUUCUGCUCCCACUGAGAGACUGCAAUGUAAGGUAUGGAAACAGAAUAUUCUCUAUAGAAACAUACAUGUUAAAAUAUGAACACUUUUGUUCUUAUUUCAAUCCAAAAAUAAAUAAAUGAAUUAAAUGUCGAAGAUA